rnacentral:rRNA from 1 species
UAGGGAAUCUUCGGCAAUGGACGAAAGUCUGACCGAGCAACGCCGCGUGAGUGAAGAAGGUUUUCGGAUCGUAAAACUCUGUUGUUAGAGAAGAACAAGGACGUUAGUAACUGAACGUCCCCUGACGGUAUCUAACCAGAAAGCCACGGCUAACUACGUGCCAGCAGCCGCGGUAAUACGUAGGUGGCAAGCGUUGUCCGGAUUUAUUGGGCGUAAAGCGAGCGCAGGCGGUUUCUUAAGUUUGAUGUGAAAGCCCCCGGCUCAACCGGGGAGGGUCAUUGGAAACUGGGAGACUUGAGUGCAGAAGAGGAGAGUGGAAUUCCAUGUGUAGCAGUGAAAUGCGUAGAUAUAUGGAGGAACACCAGUGGCGAAGGCGGCUCUCUGGUCUGUAACUGACGCUGAGGCUCGAAAGCGUGGGGAGCAAACAGG